UAGGUUUGAAUUUUCGGUAAGUAAUUUCAAAAACUCAGGCUUGACGAAGUUACAGUAAGUCAUGCUUUCAAAAAUGAAUAACUUUGCAGGAAUGGAAUUUCCGUCUGUAUCUGUGAAGAAGGAGGACUAGUGGCGAGAGGUUCGAACAAUUUCUCCUAAAAUUUUUAUAGAUUUGUAAAAUUGUUGCCACAAUCUAUAAUUUAUAUGAAGUUUUAUGAGAAUUUAGGGUUUGAUCAUCAAAUUGAUUAGUUAAUUUCCCUCCAAAUUGAUGCAGUUUUUUGAUCCAAAAGUUGAUAUUUUAUGUACUGAUAAGCUAUUUUAGGGUUUUUAUUACUACAUCAAAACCCUAAAUUUCUCAAAUGAUAAUAUUAGUCUGUUAUUUACUUUUCUGCUGAACUACUGUGUCAGAGUUUAAAAUUCCACCUAAGGUUAUCGCANGAUAAUAUUAGUCUGUUAUUUACUUUUCUGCUGAACUACUGUGUCAGAGUUUAAAAUUCCACCUAAGGUUAUCGCAUCAGAUAUUUAGGUUUGAAUUUUCGGUAAGUAAUUUCAAAAUCUCAGGCUUGACGAAGUUACAGUAAGUCAUGGUUUCAAAAACGAAUGACUUUGUAGGAAUGGAAUUUCCAUCUGUAUCUGUGAAGAAGGAGGACUGGUGGCAAGAGGUUCGAACAAUUUCUCCUUAAAUUUUAAUAAAUUUGUAAACUUGUUGGCACAAUCUAUACUUUAUAUGAAGUUUUAUGAGAAUUUAGGGUUUGAUCAUCAAAUUGAUUAGUUAAUUUCCCUCCAAAUUGAUGCAGUUUAUUGAUCCAAAAGCUGAUAUUUUAUGUACUGGUAAGCUUUUUUAGGGUUUUAAUUACUGCUUCAAAACCCUAAAUUUCUCAAUUGAUAAUAUUAGUCUGUUAUUUACUUUUCUGCUGAACUACUGUGUCAGAGUUUAAAAGUCCACCUAAGGUUAUCGCAACAGAUAUUUAGGUUUGAAUUUUCGGUAAGUAAUUUCAGUAACUCAGGCUUGACAAAGUUACAGUAAGUCAUGGUUUCAAGAAUGAAUAACUUUGCAGGAAUGGAAUUUCCAUCUGUAUCUGUGAAGAAGGAAGACUGGUGGCGAGAGGUUCGAACAAUUUCUCCUUAAAUUUUUAUAAAUUUGUAAANNN
rnacentral:lncRNA from 1 species